AAUAGCCGCAGAAAUUCUGUGCUAAGGUAGCAUAAUCAUUUGUUUUUUAAUUAAAAACUAGAAUGAAAGAUUUAACGUUUUUAAUUCAUUUAUUAUUAAUAUUUUUUAAAUUUAUUCUAAAUAUAAAAAAAUAUUUAUUAAAAAAAUAGACGACAAGACCCUAUUGAAUUUUAUUUAUAUUUAGCUGGGGCAGCUAUAAAAUAUAAUUAUAAUAUUAAAAUCAAUAAAUUUAAUAAAAAUCCAAUAAAAUUGAUUAUUUUAUCAAAUUACCAUAGGGAUAACAGCGUAAUAUUAAUUUAAAGUUCAUAUUAAAAUUAAAUUUUGCGACCUCGAUGUUGAAUUAUAAUUCUUUAUUAAUGCAAUAAUUAUAUAAGUAGUCUGUUCGACC
rnacentral:rRNA from 1 species